rnacentral:rRNA from 1 species
CCUACGGGAGGCAGCAGUCGCGAAUUUUUCUCAAUGGACGCAAGUCUGAAGAAGCCAUGCCGCGUGCGGGACGAAGGCCCUCUGGGUUGUAAACCGCUGUCAGGGAAGGGGAAAUGGUGUAUGUGAAUAGCGUGCAUCUUGACUGCUUUCCAAAGGAAGCCCCGGCAAAACAUGUGCCAGCAGCCGCGGUAAUACAUGUGGGGCAAGCGUUGUUCGGAAUCACUGGGCAUAAAGGGUGCGUAGGCGGCGAGACACGUCUUGGGUGAAAUCCUGCGGCCUAACCGUGGGACUGCCUGGGAUACGGUCUUGCUUGAGUGCGUGAGGGGUGACUGGAACGCGUGGUGUAGCGGUGAAAUGCGUAGAUAUCACGCGGAAGGCCAACGGCGAAGGCAAGUCACUGGUACGCAACUGACGCUGAGUGCACGAAAGCGUGGGGAGCAAACAGGAUUAGAUACCCUGGUAGUCCACGCCGUAAACGAUGGGCACUAGAUCGCCGGAGCGCUAUGCUCUGGCGGUCGCGAGCGAUCGCGUAGUGCCCGCCCGCGGGAGGUAGUGGUCGCGAGGACGUAGAACGUACGAAGUAGAAGUUAGACGGCGGUUGGAGGACGUUGCCGACGGGACGACGACGACGGGGAGGUUAAGGG